rnacentral:rRNA from 1 species
CCUACGGGUGGCUGCAGUGAGGAAUAUUGGUCAAUGGGCUUACGCCUGAACCAGCCAAGUCGCGUGAGGGAAGACUGCCCUAUGGGUUGUAAACCUCUUUUGUCAGGGAGCAAUUGGCGCUACGUGUAGCGUUAUCGAGAGUACCUGAAGAAAAAGCAUCGGCUAACUCCGUGCCAGCAGCCGCGGUAAUACGUAGGUGGCAAGCGUUGUCCGGAUUUACUGGGUGUAAAGGGCGUGCAGCCGGAGAGACAAGUCAGAUGUGAAAUCCACGGGCUCAACCCGUGAACUGCAUUUGAAACUGUUUCCCUUGAGUGUCGGAGAGGUAAUCGGAAUUCCUUGUGUAGCGGUGAAAUGCGUAGAUAUAAGGAAGAACACCAGUGGCGAAGGCGGAUUACUGGACGAUAACUGACGGUGAGGCGCGAAAGCGUGGGGAGCAAACAGGAUUAGAUACCCGUGUAGUC